CUCGGCCUCCCGAGUAGCUGGGACUACAGGCGUGUGCCACCACGCCUGGCUAAUUUUUGUAUUUUUAGUAAAGGCGGGGUUUCACCAUGUUGGCCAGGCUGGUCUCCAACUCCUGACCUCAUGAUCCACCCGCCUUCACCUCCCAAAGUGCUGGGAUUACAGGCGUGAGCCACUGAGCCUGGCCGAUCUGUUUAUUAUCUUAACUGUAGUGAUGG
rnacentral:lncRNA from 1 species